GACGUAGGGCGCGAGCGUUGUCCGGAUUUAUUGGGCGUAAAGAGCUCGUAGGCGGCUUGUCGCGUCGACUGUGAAAACCCGAGGCUCAACUUCGGGCUUGCAGUCGAUACGGGUAGGCUAGAGUUCGGUAGGGGGAGACUGGAAUUCCUGGUGUAGCGGUGAAAUGCGCAGAUAUCAGGAGGAACACCGAUGGCGAAGGCAGGUCUCUGGGCCGAUACUGACGUGAGGAGCGAAAGCGUGGGGAGCGAACAGG
rnacentral:rRNA from 1 species